UACGUAGGGGGCUAGCGUUGUCCGGAAUCAUUGGGCGUAAAGAGCGUGUAGGCGGUCCGGUAAGUCCGCUGUGAAAGUCGGGGGCUCAACCCUCGAAUGCCGGUGGAUACUGUCGGGCUAGAGUGCGGAAGAGGCGAGUGGAAUUCCUGGUGUAGCGGUGAAAUGCGCAGAUAUCGGGAGGAACACCGGUGGCGAAGGCGGAUCUCUGGGCCUUACCUGACGCUCAGGCGCGAAAGCUAGGGGAGCGAACUGG
rnacentral:rRNA from 1 species